UUUUAAGCGAUCUUCACACCCAACGUAAGGCUUGAACUUACAACCUGGAGAUCAAGAGUUGCAAGCUGUACUGACAGAGCCAGCCAGGCGCCCCUCCAAAUAUCCUUAAUCUCUAGCUUCCCCCUGCCAAAAGAAAACAAAAACAAACAAAAAAACACAUCCUAUGUGUUAGAGCACUGUUACGUGAACAUCACACAUUUGCCUACAGCUCGUGUGAUCUUAUUUCAUAUUCACAGACUUAGAUUUAUUAAGUUUUGUAUUAAGUGAACUCACUUAACAGAUAAAUCUAUCCACGAAGUGGCAAAACCUGGACUGGCAGCUAGAUCUCCUGAAUUUCAAUCUUGUCUCUGCCCAGUUCCAGCUAUGUGAUUUUGAGCAAGUUACUUAGCCUCUCAGUGCCUCAUUUUCCUUUCUGUUCUUUGGUGAUCGUAACAGCGGCUACCACGUGGUGGUCUUGUGAAGUCCGUUCAAGUGAACAGACUAGAAUUUUUGCUUGGCAGCACAUAGUAAAUGCUCAGUAAAUGGUAGCUGUGAUUUUAUGAUCAUAAUCCCUCCAUUAAUAAAAUGGAGCCCACCCCCUGGACUACCUGAAAUCAUUGUGUGUAUCAAACGUGGCAUGCACUGUUUGAGAAAUACUGCAUUUUUGCACAGAGCUAAUAUUCGUGUGAACUGGCAAGGUGACAGAAGCCACAGGGUACUUUCGAGAAGAGGACCGCACUGUAUCUAGGACCCAGGGUUAGAAUAUUUUAGAGAAUAAUAAACCCAAUUUAUCACCUUUUAAAAACCUCAUCAGCACAAAUGACCUAAGAUUUAAAUUGUAUUAAAUGUGUAUAAUCUGCAUGGGUGCCUCUGCCAUGAGAAUAAUUAUGCUAUAUUAUUCCCAGGAAAUGUGCUUUACUGAAGUAGAAAUCUCCAUUAUAUUCCCUAGAGAAUUAAACUUUUUGAUCCUUUAUGGUAUACACUGAUGUUAUAUAUCUCAAGAGUGAUGUCUUGACUAUAUCCUGUCUGUUCACUUUCCUAUCAAUAUUUAAAUGGUUUUCAGGUUUUUAUUUUCAAUUAUACUUACAUUUGAUGACUUCCUUGGAACACCAUCUGAGGAGUUAAUCUUCAUAAUCCAGCCAACAUAAAUGAACCUUUAGAACUACCCUGUUUUUAUUUUUUGUGUAUGCCAAGAUUUAAUGCAUAGCCAAGUAGCAUGAGGCAAGCUCAUUUAAGAGGAGUGUUGUAAAGUUAGAUUUUCAUUAUAUUUAGUGAAAGAUGGUGAUGAUCUCUUAAUUCUUCGCUGCCACAUCUGAGGCUCAAUAGCUUCAUGUCCUCACCCAUACUAACAUAAAUCCAUAAUAUACAUCUUGUGCGGAAUGUAAAUGAAAAAGCUUCCAUUCCAUUCCCAGUUUUCCCAAGAGGCAUGUACCAAAAAAAAAAAAAAAAAAAAAGAAAGAAAGAAAGAAAGAAAAAAAAGCAGAGCACAUUUGCCAUAUUAAAAUUGUCAAGCCCUUGUUUAUAGAUAAAAUUUAGACAUGGCUAAUCUUAUUUGUGUUCAAUAUUUAUAGGUCUUUGGAGCCUAUUACUUAUACCAGAUAUACUGGAAAGUAAUAUAACUGUACGCAAAUCCAAGUAAGUCUCAGCAACAUUUCUAAAUGGUAAAGGCAGUUUGCUUUUGAAAAAUUUGCAUUUUAAAUUUCUAAUUAUGGAGUCAGUUGAAGUUAAAUCCAAAUGGGUGCAAUUGUCACUCAAAAUGUCUUCCAUAUUAUUCAGACAGCAAAAUCUGUGUAGAUAGAAACCACUCAACUAGUGUUUCCCAAACUUUGCUUUAUGGAACUAAUUCCACAAGCUGUUCCAAAAGUUGCUUUGGGGAAUUGGGGUUUGGAGGUUGGGUUAGGAAGCAAAAUACCCUAUUUCAUUUUGAGGAACUUAAACAUAUUUGAACAGGUAUCUGUACUGUGAGACUUCUCACAUUCUCAAAUAUGCCAGUAUGCACUGAGAGUCUUCAGGAUUGAGAAAUGUAUUUAAUGUUUCACAAUCUUACUUGACCACAGGGUUUUGUGUGUAUGUGUGUGUGUAAAAUACUUGUUCAUGGUUCCAAAGAACAUAGUUUGGGAAAUUCCAGAGAUUUUACAGAAAUUAUAUAGAGCUGAUAAAAUAAUUUCUUUCAUUCUUAAGGUAAGUAUGCUUACAUUUAUUUAUUAUUCAAUGGGUAGAAACCAUUGUCACUAAAGAAUUCUUCCUGAAUAAGCAGAUUUGCUUAGGUUUGGAUUCUGCAAAUAUAAAAUUCUGGUUAAAAAAAAAAUUCUGGUUAAGGAAACUAUUGCUAUUUAAAUAAUAUUAUUCCUGAAUUUAAAAAGUAAUUUAUGUUAUUUUUAUUUAUUUUAUUUUUUUAUUUUUUUUUAAAGAUUUUAUCUAUUUAUUUGACACAGAGAGAAUGAGAGAGAGAGAGCACAUGAGAGGGGGGAGGGUCAGAGGGAGAAGCAGGCUCCCCGCCGAGCAGGGAGCCCGAUGCGGGACUCGAUCCCGGGACUCCAGGAUCAUGACCUGAGCCGAAGGCAGUCGCUUAACCAACUGAGCCACUCAGGCGCCCUUAAUUUAUGUUAUUUUUAAUGGAAAUAGAAAUACUCUUAGGCUCACGUUCAAUGUGCCUUUUCUUUCUUUUUUUUUUUUAAAGAUUUUUAUUUAUUUAUUUGAGAGAGAGAAUGAGAUAGAGCAUGAGAGGGGGGAGGGUCAGAGGGAGAAGCAGACUCCCUGCUGAGCAGGGAGCCCGAUGCGGGACUCGAUCCCGGGACUCCAGGAUCAUGACCUGAGCCGAAGGCAGUUGCUUAACCAACUGAGCCACCCAGGCGCCCGUAAUUUAUGUUAUUUUUAAUGGAAAUAGAAAUACUCUUAGGCUCAUGUUCAAUGUGCCUUUUCUAUGACUGGUAAAAAGUAGUCCUUUAUAUUUCAUGUCUCCCACCCUUUGAAAUACAAAUACCCAAUAUGUGGGAAGAAUGGGGGAGAUCUCGCCUGCUGUAUGUACAAGGGGUUUAUCACUUUGGGUCCUGCUCAAUGAUUUUUGGUGGAAGGGAGUUAGGAAGAAUUGUAUGGUAUUCAGAAUUUACAUAGUCUUCUCAGUGAUUUCUUUGUUUUUAAGAUUUUAUUUUUUUAAAAGAUUUUAUUUAUUUAUUUGACACAGAGCACAAGUAGGCAGAGCGGCAGGCAGAGGGAGAGAGAGAAGCAGACUCCCUGCUGAGCAGGGAGCCCGAUGAGGAACUCGAUCCCAGGACCCUGGGAUCAUGACCCAAGCCGAAGGCAGAUGCCCAACUGACUGAGCCACCCAGGCGCCCCUAAGAUUUUAUUUUUAAGUAAUCUCCACACCCAAGGUGGGGCUCGAACUCACAACCCUAAGAUCAAGAGCCGCAGGCUCCACUGACUGAGCCAACCAGGUGCCCCUCAAUGAUUUCUUUUUUUUAAUGCAGGCAAAUCCUAACAGGUUAUAUCUCAAAAGUUCAGUUAAUUGGUUGUAGGCCAACCCACAAAAGCCACAUUAAUUGUCAUGGAUCUGGUAUAUUAUAGUAUUAAAGAUUGUUUGAGAAUUGAAAUAGCCGUAUUACAAAGUCUGAGGGAAAACACAUUAGCACAUCUUUCUAUUCCUUACAAAUGAGAUCAGAGAUUUCUUUCAUUCGACACCUUUUUUACGAUGUUUUUUUCAGCCCCCACAGUUUGUCUGGAAAUAAAUGGUGACCAGAGGACCUUGGCUCCGGUGGGACGGAGGAAUGCGUUGGUUUAUAUGACCACAAAGUUGAAAUGGUAAAUGUAACUUCACGUGCAUCUGAAUUGUUAAGGGCGCAAAGGCAUUUAGUCUACCUGUCUCUCAUUUUCUUGAUUCUGUGCUCCUCUUUGCAGGUGAGUCUUCUCCAUGUGGACCCCACAGUCCAGCUGAAAGCCGACGCUUCCUUCCCAGUGUCUAUGGUCAAGUCCCUGUAUCCGUUCUGGUCAGGCCCCCUGAGUAAGAGCACCAUGGAGACGAGGAGAGGCUAAAUUAUUCACAUAAUUGAGGUGAAGGCAGUAUGAUCUAUGUUUUCGGUAACGUAUCUGCUCAUUUUGCAGGUGUGUCCCUGCACACACAAAGACACAGGGAUCUGUCCAAGAGCUGUCUCUAGUUAAUAAAUUAACUCUUCAUAUGGACAAGUCCAUUAUUAAUGACAUCAAGACUUUUAAACCAUUCUUGACGGUCAUUCUUAUUUCACAUGGCAAACUCCUGGACCAACUUUUCCACAGCUGUGUGACACGUUAGGCAUUUCUCUCUCUUCCCCUGCAGUGUUUCAGAAGAGGUACUCUUUCUUCUGAAGUUGUUUUGGAGUGAAGAAAUAAUCUUAGGUCAAUAAAAACUCACUCAUUCAACCAGGUAUUUGAUUUUGAGCACUUACAUGAAAAGUUGUGUUCAUUCCCUGAUCCUUCCUGCCUCCAUUUAAGCUAUGUAUUUUUGAGUAACAGAACACCCUCAAACUUAGUGACUUGAAACAAUUAUGACUUAUUAUCCUUCCCAAUAUUUGCAUCAGGAAUUCUGGUAGAGCUCAUCUGGGCAGUUCUUCUGUUCCAUAUGGGUGGGCUGGGCUGGGCUGGAAUGUACACGAAGAUGUUACUGCUUGUCUGGCAUUCCAGUUCUGUGCUUUUCCACGUGUCCUUUCUUUCUCCGUGUGUGUCUUCUCAUUUACUACUCUGGCCUAAACUUCUUGAGAGCUUGACAUAUGCCUUCCUACAUUGAAAGCGAGGCUCUUGAAAGGUCUCUUGAAGAACUUGAACAAAGCCAGCAGAGUGUCACUUCCAUUUAUCACUGGUCAUAGCAGAUCACAAUACAGGCCCAGAUUCAGGGGAAGGGAAACUGAAUCUACCUCUUGGUCAUUGGAGUGGCAUGCAUGUACAUGGACGGAAGGAAUUGAUGGAAGCCAUCUUUGGAUACUAUUCACUACGCUCUGUUAGCAAGUAUUUCAUAUUUCUUUUCUGAAGACCAGAACACAUUGCUUCUUUCAAACUUGUAUUUAUUUUAAAGCAUAAAUUAGAACAUGAGUCGCGCAUAUGCUUACCCACUUGGUCCUUUCCUUAUUGACUAAAGAUAGAACAGACUUGUUCUAAACAGGCUGCAGUUAAUGCAAAGUAUGUAGGCCACCCCUAUAGAAGCUUGCUUUAUAAUCAAAAAUUCAUGUAAUGUUUUCGUUUUUCAUUUGCUUCAGCCCUCCUGGUAUUAGCCAAUAAAAGAAUUAUAGUUUUAAUAACUAGUUGAUACAGCUGAUUUUAUCGAUUUUAAUAAAUAAUCAAACAUGUCUAAAAGCAAAAACAUCAAACAAAGUAUUUAAAUCCCUAAAACCUUGCCUGUGCUAAUCACGAAACUCAGUUAAAUGACUAAGAUAAAAACAGAUUAGUGUCAUUAGGCAAAAAAAGAACACGUACCAAUUACAGAAUAUAAGUCUUAUCAGUUUGCUUAAUAAAAACCUGAAAUGCUAAACGAGCACUGCACUCAUACACAUUUGUGGAAUACUUCAGCCUCUUGGUUUAAAUCGUCAUCCGAAGGAAACCAAUAACCACAGCAAAUGGAGGAGCAAGAGAAUAUCGAUUGAGUGCCUGCCCUCUCUUCCUUGUGUCCUCUCUUUUGUUACUCGGAUGAGCCCUCUGAAGUUGACAAAGAUGGAAACUGAGACCCACCAGAGAUGAAGCAAGGAGUUCAAGGACCUACAGCUACUGAGAAAUGGCAGUGGGAUUCAAACCCAGGAUUCAGUGCUUCACAAAUUCCUUAUGGUUUCCCACUCCCAUGAUGUCUCUCAAAGGAAAUAGAGUUGUACCUGGGACAUAUGACUGGGGUCACUCUGGGGCCAAUCUCUUCUAGUGUCUGUUGGUACUCUCAACAGACAAUGGAACAAGGGAUGGAUGCUGCUUACAUGGAUGUCAUUCUCGUGUCUUAGGGUUUCUGUUAAACCUCCCCGGCUCCCUUUUAAUAACUUAUUUAUAAUUUCAUCCUGUAUAAUCUUUCAGGAAUAAUUGGUUUCUGAGAAGUGUAUAUAAUACACUGGCUUUUACACUUUGUGGUGUUACUCAGGGGUUCUUAUCCUUUUUUGGGCUUCAGCUUCUUUGGCAGUGUGGUAAAGUUUCCUCAGAUCAGUGCUUCUAAAUGCAUACAAGAAAAUACAAAGGAAGCCCAUUUUAUUGAGAUAUGGUUUAAUUUAGGACCAGAAUUUAAAUUAGCUCAAGCAAAAAGGGAAAACAUGCCAUGAGCGAAAAUAAGCUUAUUGGUGUAAAGAACUAGAAGCAUUAGCACACUACGGCCCAGGGGCCAAAUCUGGCCCAUUACCUAUUUUUGGAGAAGUUUAUUGGAACACCUUUACUUUCUUUUUUGUUUGUUUGUUUUUAGUAUUAUGUCAUGUUAAUCACCAUACAUUACAUCAUUAGUUUUCGAUGUAGUGUUCCAUGAUUCAUUGUUUGCGUAUAACACCCAGUGCUCCAUGCAGAACGUGCCCUCUUUAAUACCUAUCACCAGGCUAACCCAUCUUCCCACCCCCCUCCCCACUAGAACCCUCAGUUUGUUUUUCAGAGUUCAUCGUCUCUCAUGGUUCUUCUCCCUCUCCGAUUUCCCCCCUUCAUUCUUCCCCUCCUGCUAUCUUCUUCUUCUUCUUUUUUUUUAACAUAUAAUGUAUUAUUUGUUUCAGAGGUACAGAUCUGUGAUUCAACAGUCUUGCACAAUUCACAGCGCUCACCAUAGCACAAACCCUCCCCAAUGUCUAUCACCCAGGCACCCCAUCCCUCCCACUCCCCACCACUCCAGAAACCCUCAGUUUGUUUCCUGAGAUUAAGAAUUCCUCAUAUCAGUGAGGUCAUAUGAUACAUGUCUUUCUCUGAUUGACUUAUUUUGCUCAGUGUAAUACCCUCCAGUUCCAUCCACGUCGUUGCAAAUGCCAAGAUUUCAUUCCUUUUGAUGGCUGCAUAAUAUUCCAUUGUAUAUAUACACCACAUCUUCUUUAUCCAUUCAUUUGUCGAUGGACAUCUUGGCUCUUUCCACAGUUUGGCUAUUGUGGACAUUGCUGCUAUAAACAUUGGGGUGCACGUACCCCUUCGGAUCCCUACAUUUGUAUCUUUGGGGUAAAUACCCAGUAGUGCAAUUCCUGGAUCGUAUGGUAGCUCUAUAUUCAACUUUUUGAAGAGCCUCCAUACUGUUUUCCAGAGUGGCUACACCAGUUUGCAUUCCCACCAACAGUGUAGGAGGGUUCCCCUUUCUCCGCAUCCCGCCAACAUCUGUCAUUUCCCAACUUGUUAAUUUUAGCCAUUCUGACUGGUGUGAGGUGGUAUCUCAUGGAGGUUUUGAUUUGGAUUUCCCUGAUGCCGAGCGAUAUUGAGCACUUUUUCAUGUGUCUGUUGGCCAUUUGGAUGUCUUCUUUGGAAAAAUGUCUGUUCAUGUCUUCUGCCAAUUUCUUGAUUGGAUCAUUUGUUCUUUGGGUGUUGAGUUUAAGAAGUUCUUUAUAGAUUUUGGAUACUAGCCCUUUAUCUGAUAUGUCAUUUGCAAAUAUCUUCUCCCAUUCUGUCAGUUGUCUUUUGGUUUUGUUGACUGUUUCUUUUGCUGUGCAAAAGAUUUUUUUUUUUUUUUUAAAGAUUUUAUUUAUUUAUUUGAGAGAGAGAAUGAGAGAGAGAGAGAGAGCAUGAGAGGGGGGAGGGUCAAAGGGAGAAGCAGACUCCCUGCCGAGCAGGGAGCCCGAUGCGGACUCGAUCCCGGGACUCCAGGAUCAUGACCUGAGCCGAAGGCAGUCGCUUAACCAACUGAGCCACCCAGGCGCCCGCAAAAGUUUUUUAUCUUGAUGAAAUCCCAAUAGUUCAUUUUUGCCCUUGCUUCCCUUGCCUUUGGCGAUGUUUCUAGGAAGAAGUUGCUGCGGCCGAGGUUGAAGAGGUUGCUGCCUGUAGGAACACCUUUACUUUCAAUUAUUUAUGUAUUGUCUAUGACUGCUUUCUAAGGAAAUAAAAAGGAAAAACAAAGAGCCUCCUAUUUUCUUAUGCAGAGAAAUCCGCUUCUCCCUUGCUCGUCCUCUAAACUCCAUUCCAGACCUCCUCUGAAUGCCUAAGGGUUUGGCCAAAGCUUUCAAAGUACCUUUAGUUAAGGCCUGGCCAGUGACAUUUUUAAAUUUAGCCCCAAUAUGUAGUUGGGGAGAGUUUGUUUUUUUUUUCUAUUAUUCAUUUGAAAUGUAUAUAAUAUGUCUGUAAUCUUAACAAAAGUCUACUUUGGCCCAUAACUGCUUUCAUUUAAUCUGAAAUUCAAGGGAGUGUAGAUAUCUCAGAAUUGCAUGGGAGACUGAAAUGAACAUAGAUUUAAUUUUUUUUAUUUAUUAUAGAAGGUAAAUCCAUUGGUUACGAAGUGGCUGAAAAGAAAACUCUGGGUAUUUCAGUUCUAUUUCUCUUAAUAGCCAAGAAAACAAAGAUUGGGAAAAUCUGAUAAUGCCCAUUCAAACAUGACCUGGGCAGGAAUCCAAGAAAGCUAGCUGUAAAACAAAUAAAUCACUUGCUAUUUUAAAGCAUGGAAAGCACAGUGAUCUCAGACCUAAACAAGGAAAUAAUCAUUAUUCAUCUUAUGUUUUAAAACACAAUUAUUAAAGAGAGCUCUCUGGAAACUUACUCUGGAAGUAGCAGAUGAAAUUAGUUCCAUAGGGGCCUGCACCUGACAAACCACAACUGGCUGGCUCUGGGUUAAAAGGCAAUGUGACCUUUGGCCCAGAAGAGCUGGGGAUAAUUUUGUGAAUUAUCUCCACCCCUUUGUCUGAGAUCCCUCCCAGACAGCAGGAUGGCUGCUGGUUCCACCCCAAGAUCCUGAGCUGGAGUAGACAGUUGCUACUUCUCUGAAAGCAUGAAGCUUCUAGAAGCAGUGUCUGUUGGCCUCUGGGGAAGCUGAAACUCCCUUUGCCUACUGUGGUAGCUAAAUUAAUGUCUCCUUAAAGAUGUACGUGUUCUAAUCUUUGGAACCUGGGGGUAUGUUACUUUACAUGGUGAAAGGGACUUUGAAGAUGUGAUUAAGUUAAGGAACUUAAGAUGGUACAUUGGAUGUCCACGUGGGCCCAGUGUCAUCUCAGGUGUCCUUAUAAGUGAAGAAGAGAGGCCAGAGAGUCAGAGUCCAGGAGAGAUUUGAAGAUCUACACUAUUGGCUUUGAAGACCAAGGAAGGGGAACAUGAGCCAAGGAAGACAACAGCCUAUAGCAGGUAGAAAAGGCAAGGAAAGAGUCUCCCCUGGAGCCUCCAGAAGAAACACAGCCCUCCUGACCCAUUUUAGAUGUGUGACAUCCAGGCUAUAAGAUAAUACAUUUGUGCCAUUUUAAGCCACUGAGUUUGUGGUAAUUUGUUAGAGCGAUGAUAGGAAACUAGUACAUUUACUUGCCCCUUUCCUCUCUAACUAUAAGAGUCUUGGUAUGCCUCAGGCAAAUCAGAAGACAUGCAUCAGAUUACAGUUUAGAAGGUGCAACUUGUGUGUGAUAUAGAGAAAAACAGGGUUUUGUGUGGCAAAUUUUCUGGUUCUUUAGUUUUCAAUGAAAAAUUAAGAUUUAUUUGUUUUUUUAAGAAGCUCUGGUUUCUUAUGUGGGUGGGACGGCAUAAAGGUCCUGGGGCCUAUUCUAUCUUGGAAGGAAGCACGUUGUUCCUUUCUAUCUACCUUAAAAGGCCAAGGAAAGAAGAGAGUAGAUUGGCCAAGUUUGCACACUCUGGAGCUAGUCCAUCUGGUUGUGAAAUAUACUAACUGAGAUUUUAGGCAAAUAAGUUCACUUUGGUCUCUCUGUUUUUGAGUAAAGGGUAAUAGUAUCCAUCUGAUGAAUUAUUUACAUAAAAACCUUUGAAUGGUGCCUAGAACAUGGUACAUGUGAUGAUAAAGAUGACGAUAAUGAUUAGCUCUUUAGGUUUUGAUUCUGGCUUUCUUAGUAGGUUUGUAAUCUUGCACAGUGUUUUUUCCCCUGAGCAAAUCUCAGUUUGUUUUCAUCUAUAAAAAGAGAGAAUAAUAGUAACCACCUGAAAUGUUGUUAUGAGAACUAAGAUCAUACAUAUAAAGCAUGUGGCACGUAGUAACCGCUCAGUAAACCUGAGACACAUUGUAAUCAGUGGGGAUCCAAGCAACCUAAGGCAGGAGUCAAUGCUUAAGCCUCCCUACGAUGUAAUUCUUCUUCAUCUUCCUUUAUUUGGCUUUUCCUUCCCUAACUUUCAGGAUAGUAAGAUUAAAAGGACUAAGAAAGGCACCAUUACAUUCUUAUUCCACAACCAUGCACCUCAAAACUAGGGUCCUCAGCAAUGAGUUAGGUGGGUGAGAAGACACUAUAUAAACAUGGCACAUCUUCUGGAAAGUCAACUUUACUCAAAGGUAAAUAAUUUAACAUAUUUUUCUUUUAAAACAAACAUGGAUGUAUUAUGAAGGAGAAUGCAAAUUUUGCAUGAAUUUUUAAGAACAGGAGUGGAUUAUUCGGCCACUUUCUUAUUGAAGCUUUAGAAACCCAACUCAAACUAGCUUAAACAGAAAAGACAUUCCCGCCACUGUAAUUUGAAACUUUGGAGGGCUCCAUUUCAGAGGUACGGCUGGGUCCAAGGGCUCUAACAUUGUCAUCAGGAAUCUUUAUUUACCCAUCUUCCAGGUCUGUUUUUCUCCAGAUUUUAUCCAGGGGACAGAGGAAAUCUAAUUGGCUAAAGUAACCUGCUUUCCAAUGAGGGUAGAGUACCUGGGCCCUUAUCUUGACAUUCCCCCAAGAUGUGGAUGUGUCUAAAAAGAAAAUAAAACACAUUCUGGUAACUGAAGAAGGUGGAAAGAAUUGCGAGCACAAUCAACCCUUAUCUACCAUGAGGAGACUUUGGAGAGAUUGCUUGCUUCUGAAGACCAUGAUCCCUAAUUCCUCAGGAUAUAAAUGUAUUCUGUGCUUAGACAUAUUUGCCUGAUGUCUAGGCAAAAAAACUACCUUUCUCUGAGCCUACACGUUCCAGCCAAAUCCAGAUGCACUGGUUCUGCUCUGUGGGGUAGAGGUGGGAAUGAACACACAGACUCUGACUACCUUCUCCAUUGAGCCUGAAAAAGGGGCCACUUAUGGAGAGUAUGUUCAAAGUAUGUUCGAUUUCCUCCAAGCCCCAGUGUAACUUCUGGCCUUGAUCUUCGAGAGUCUACACUAGAGUUUGAGGAAAAGACUUUUUCAUAGAAGUCAAGUGUGUGAUUUUGUGUGAGUUGUCCAUUUCUCUAUAUCUCUCAAGGACUUGUGGCUUCAGUUGAAGAUCCAGAGCUCUGUGUCCUUAAACAUCAUACCCACAUUACUAAGAAUGAUCCUCCAUUAAGUAGAUAAUACAGACUUGGGUUUCUGAAUCUAUGCAAGACAAAGAAGCAAAUCAAGAUGAAAACCAUCUUGGGACUUGCCAGUGCAUUUUUCCCAAGUGUUUAGGAGACCACUAAACCCAUGAAAUGCUCUGUGAAAAAAGUGUUGGAUGAUCAAGGAAGUGCCUUUCUGGGGAGCUUAUAUUCCAUACUAGCACAUUAAAGGCUCUGAGAAGUCUUGAAAUAAGGGAGCCUGGUUGGCUUUGUCUGACUAGCCUUUCUCACACUGAUUAACACCUUGUAUAAUAAUUAUUCAAAUUUGGAACACUUGGUGAGAAAAUGCUGCCUCAGGUCCAGGAACUGGAGGCUCUGGAAGUUCUCGCUUGGCUCCCCAAUUAUAGGCAAGGAAUAUUCAAAGCCUGGUGCCCCGUGUGCAACACAGUCACACCAAAGCUGGUGUUUCUACCAUGGCAAGGCGCUGAGCUGAGCACCAGUCGUGAGUAUGAUUAUGUGAUUAGGCAAAUCCCUGGGUGAAUCUUGGAGAAAUGAACACUGGGCAUAAUACAUUUGGGUCUAAUAGAAGUUAUCUUUUUAGCCUUUCUUUUAAUGCUAUGAUGUUUAUGUUCCUCCCAAAUUCAUGUUUAAGCCAAACUUUCAAGGUGAUGGUAUUGCUGAGUGGGGGAGGGGCACUUUGGGAAGCACUUAGGUUUAUGAGGGUAGAGCCCUCAUUAAUGAGCUUAGUACCUUUACAAAAGACCCGCACAGAGCUCCCUUGUCCCUUUUGCCAUUUGAAGACCCAGCUGGAAGGCAGUGAACCAGGAAUUGAGUUCUCAGCAGACACCACAUCUUCCAGCACCUUGAUCUUGGACUUGCCAGCCUUCAGGACCAUGGGAGAUCGAUUUCUGUUAGAAGCCAGCCUGUCUACAGUGUUUUUUAAUUGCAGCCCCAAACCAUGGUGUGUGUCGUAGCAGCAGAUGAGUCCAGUCAGGCCUGGCCACAGGCAAAGUUGUCAAGGAGUGGUAUUUAUCUCCCACUUUCCCGGACCCCUGCGGCGUGGGACCCAGCAUGUUCUGCUGCUUCCUCUGUGCACUUCUCUCCCUCUCUCCCCACUGGCUAACUCAUCAUCAUCAUCAUCAUCAUCCCCGUAGCAGCUACUGUUGAUGGAGCUCCUACAAUUCACGAGGCACCAUGCAAAGGGAGCUCUCCCCAACUUUAGGAAACGUGUUGUUAUAGAAACAUACAUUGUCACUUACCAGUGAAAGGAUUCAGAUUCUAAGGUUGAAGCAAGUUUGUGUGUUCCACAGAGUGAGAUAAUGAGGGAACCAAGUUUUGAAAGAGUUGGUAAUAGCCAGCGAAAUGUUUUUCCCUCCUAGUUGGAAUAUUUGCCUGUCAGAUUUUGUGUUCUGGAGAUUAUGAUGCCCUCGCUUCGAGGAGGGUGCUAAAAGUGGAAAUUUUAUGUUUCGUGGGAAAUGACUUCAGAGAUCUUUCUCUUUUCACCACAUUGUCUAUUCCUAGAAAAAAUUGCCUCUGUGUGUGUAAGGCCAGGAAGGGAAGAGAGGACCUGAGGAGACUUGAUGUAUAUAGGAGGCUACAAAAACACUUUGCCUGCUAUUAUAAUUAGUAUAAUGAGUUUCCAUUUUCAGUUAAAAAUGUACAUAAUUUUUGUAUUGGAUUUUCUUUUAUUUUUGUUCAAUAUGCUUACUUUUCAAGAGAGAAGCUGGCAUCUGGCCUUUCAGUCUUGUUAACCUUUUGCCGUUUUUAUAAUCAUUCACCCCAUUUUUACAAAUUUUAGUCUAUAAAAAUGACGAGAUUUACCAACUUAUAAAAUAAAACAUCUGGCAAAAAUAAAGAAAUGGCAAAAUGCUAAAAGAGCAGUCAAGAAAAACAUAGCUUGUUUAAAUGAUGCCAAAUGGAUGUCUACUUUAUCUGAUUAUAAUUUUUUACUUUUCAAAAACUCCCUUUGAUUUUCUGUAAUUAAUUGUCAUUAAGGAUCCAAAUCAUUUAUUAGUGCAACACCUAAAAGGAUUUCUCAGAUUGUGGUGAUAUUAACAGGGGAAAAAGUCAGCAUUAUUAUAUAUUUUAUUAUUUCGGGACUGUUUUCAAGCCACUGGUGUAAUUGGCCUGUAGCCUGUUCCAAUUAAUACGGUUUUUAAAUGCAUUUCUACAAAUCUGUUUUUUGGAAGCAAAAAUCUUGACUUAAAAAACUUGCUCGCAGCGGAGGCUUAUUGCUAUGCGAGGAUAAAGCCUGGGAGCCAUUUCUUUUUUAAUAAUUAUUUUCAAAGAAAUCUGUGAAAUCUUCAUCAACACUUUUAAAGAAGUAGUCCCUAUCAAGGAGAAGAAAGACUUUGAGAUCUAAACCUGUGUUAACCACCCUGGUAGGUGACAGAGUCUCGUGUCGCCUGCUGAGAGGUAAUUUUGCGGAAGGCAACGUAUUAACAAGAAGGGACUUUUGUUUUUGCCUACCUAAAUAUUUUCUUUUUCCAGUAAUCUCUUGUCCUUGAGUUGAGGCUGGAAUAUAUGGAGAUUUUCUACACACUCAUUCUCUACGGAGACUCAGAGGAUUCAAAUGAUACUAUGGCCCCCAUAUGUACAUUUGAUUUCAUUAAGGAAUAAUGUGGUAGUAUGACACCCAGUACAGAAGGGAGACAAUGGAUUAUUUCUAAUUGUCCCUCGUGGUGGGUUUCUUUGUUGUUUGUUGUUUGUUAUUGUUGUUGUUGUUCUUUUGGUCUUUCAGUUGGGAACAUUUAUGGGGCUAAUUUCAUUUCUCAUUGCAAAAUUUAUGUAGUACUCUGGCUUGCAUCAUAAAUUACAAAGGCAAUUCUUAUGGACCAGAUGAGGUCCCUUUGGACUUAAGCAUCUCACCACUUCACUUUGUCUUCCCAGGUGGCUUCUCUGGAAUAUCAUUGAAGAAUUCAAUGACUCUGACUAAAUUUGGUGCAUGACAAAAUGGUAGCUGCCAUCGUUUUCAAAUGUUCCAUUGGGGAAGAGGCAAAGAAAAUCAUCAGAAUGUUCUUUUGUUGGCUGCAACUUUUACUCCAAACCUCAGUGUACAACUCUGCCACUUAGGUUGAUCCCAGUAGAAGGCUGUUUUUUUUCCAGCCUUGAGAGCCUCCAUCUGGCCAUCUGUUUCCUCCUACCCCAUGCAAAUUGGGGGUCUGAACAUUGAUGGCAAAGAAAGAGAGAUACCGAGGAAAAGGAGCGAGAGAAGCAGAUAAUUUGAGAACAUUUGACUCCUAGGGUCUGUGGAGGAGUUGGUGGGAGGAGGUGAGAGAAGAUAACCUGUGUCUGUUGUGGUUAUGUGCUUGUCCCAUUCCUGGGGAAAGGGGUGAAAGGGCUGAAAGAGGUGGUGAGAUUCCCACAGAGACCACCAUGGGCUAAUCCCCAGUUAGGUGCAGAGGGCAUGUUAUUUUAAAAUGAAAUCGGCUAGACUCUGUAACGUUUGAGGAUUGCUGGGUGGGGUCAUGUUUUGAGGCAUGCUUAAGAGUCUGGAGCAAAAGGUAUCUUGGAAUAAAUACAGUGGUUGUAUGUUAA